rnacentral:rRNA from 1 species
UACGAAGGGGGCUAGCGGUGUUCGGAAUCACUGGGCGUAAAGCGCACGUAGGCGGCUUGUUAAGUCAGAGGUGAAAGCCUGGAGCUCAACUCCAGAACUGCCUUUGAUACUGGCAAGCUCGAGGAUAGCAGAGGUUGGUGGAACUCCGAGUGUAGAGGUGAAAUUCGUAGAUAUUCGGAAGAACACCAGUGGCGAAGGCGGCCAACUGGGCUAUUACUGACGCUGAGGUGCGAAAGCGUGGGGAGCAAACAGG